AUGGAGUUGGGGCUGAGCUGCAUUUUCCUUGUUGCUCUUUUAAAAGGUGUCCAGUGUGAAGCGCAGCUGGUGGAGUCUGGGGGUGGCUUGGUGAAGCCUGGGGGGUCCCUGAAACUCUCCUGUGUAGCCUCUGGAUUCCCCUUCAGUAUCGACGAGAUGCACUGGGUCCACCAGGCUCCAGGGAAGGGGCUGGAAUGGGUUGGAAAUAUUAAUUAUGAUGGCAGUACCACAAAAUAUGCACCAUCUGUGAAGGGCCGGUUCACCAUCUCCAGAGACAAUGCCAAGAACACUCUGUACCUGCAAAUGAACAGUGUGAAGUCUGAGGACACCGCCACUUAUUACUGUGCUAGAGACACAGUGAGUGAUCUCAGUGUAAACCCAGAGAUAAACCUCACUGUGAGGCCGCUCACGGCCACCAGGGGGCGCACAGCACACACUGAACACAGGUUCCUCCCAGGAGAUUAUGCAGACAGGGGAGCCAUGAUGCUCUGGCCAUCAGGGUGGGACGAGCAUGCUGCAGGGGGCCAGUGUUCCAUCAGGGGGCGCCAAAUCUCCAUGGCUUCAAUUAGAUCCUUGAGCAAGUGCACAGAAGGCCACAGAGCACUUCCUGUGAGCCCUGGCUUCCUCUGCCAGCCCAGUGUGCAGAAGAAACUGGAAGACCUUGAAGCUGGCAGUUGGUGA